AAGUCGAGCGGACAGAAGGGAGCUUGCUCCCGGAUGUUAGCGGCGGACGGGUGAGUAACACGUGGGUAACCUGCCUGUAAGACUGGGAUAACUCCGGGAAACCGGAGCUAAUACCGGAUAGUUCCUUGAACCGCAUGGUUCAAGGAUGAAAGACGGUUUCGGCUGUCACUUACAGAUGGACCCGCGGCGCAUUAGCUAGUUGGUGAGGUAACGGCUCACCAAGGCGACGAUGCGUAGCCGACCUGAGAGGGUGAUCGGCCACACUGGGACUGAGACACGGCCCAGACUCCUACGGGAGGCAGCAGUAGGGAAUCUUCCGCAAUGGACGAAAGUCUGACGGAGCAACGCCGCGUGAGUGAUGAAGGUUUUCGGAUCGUAAAGCUCUGUUGUUAGGGAAGAACAAGUGCAAGAGUAACUGCUUGCACCUUGACGGUACCUAACCAGAAAGCCACGGCUAACUACGUGCCAGCAGCCGCGGUAAUACGUAGGUGGCAAGCGUUGUCCGGAAUUAUUGGGCGUAAAGGGCUCGCAGGCGGUUUCUUAAGUCUGAUGUGAAAGCCCCCGGCUCAACCGGGGAGGGUCAUUGGAAACUGGGAAACUUGAGUGCAGAAGAGGAGAGUGGAAUUCCACGUGUAGCGGUGAAAUGCGUAGAAAUGUGGAGGAACACCAGUGGCGAAGGCGACUCUCUGGUCUGUAACUGACGCUGAGGAGCGA
rnacentral:rRNA from 1 species